ACUAGCAUAUCAAUAAGCGGAGGAAAAGAAACCAACAGGGAUUGCCUCAGUAACGGCGAGUGAAGCGGCAACAGCUCAAAUUUGAAAUCUGGCCCUAGGCCCGAGUUGUAAUUUGCAGAGGAUGCUUUUGGCAAGGUGCCUUCCGAGUUCCCUGGAACGGGACGCCAUAGAGGGUGAGAGCCCCGUCUGGUCGGACACCGAGCCUCUGUAAAGCUCCUUCGACGAGUCGAGUAGUUUGGGAAUGCUGCUCAAAAUGGGAGGUAUAUGUCUUCUAAAGCUAAAUACCGGCCAGAGACCGAUAGCGCACAAGUAGAGUGAUCGAAAGAUGAAAAGCACUUUGAAAAGAGAGUUAAAUAGCACGUGAAAUUGUUGAAAGGGAAGCGUUUAUGACCAGACUUGGCCCGGUUGAUCAUCCAGCGUUCUCGCUGGUGCACUCUGCCGGUCCAGGCCAGCAUCAGUUCGUCGCGGGGGAUAAAGGUUUCGGGAAUGUGGCUCCUCCGGGAGUGUUAUAGCCCGUUGCGUAAUACCCUGCGGUGGACUGAGGUCCGCGCUUCUGCAAGGAUGCUGGCGUAAUGGUCAUCAACGACCCGUCUUGAAACACGGACCAAGGAGUCGUCUUCGUAUGCGAGUGUUCGGGUGUAAAACCCCUACGCGUAAUGAAAGUGAACGCAGGUGAGAGCUUCGGCGCAUCAUCGACCGAUCCUGAUGUUCUCGGAUGGAUUUGAGUAAGAGCAUACGGGGCCGGACCCGAAAGAAGGUGAACUAUGCCUGUAUAGGGUGAAGCCAGAGGAAACUCUGGUGGAGGCUCGCAGCGGUUCUGACGUGCAAAUCGAUCGUCAAAUAUGGGCAUGGGGGGCGAAAGACUAAUCGAACCUUCUAGUAGCUGGUUUCCGCCGAUCUC
rnacentral:rRNA from 1 species